rnacentral:rRNA from 1 species
AAUGUUUGACAAUGGGGGCAACCCUGAUCCAGCAAUGCCGAGGGUGUGAAGAAGGCCUGCGGGUUGUAAAGCACUUUCAGUAGAGAAGAAAAAACCUGAGGUUAAUAACCUCAAGUCUUGACGUAACCGGCAGAAGAAGCACCGGCUAACUCCGUGUCAGCAGCCGCGGUAAUACGGAGGGUGCGAGCGUUAAUUGGAAUUAAUGGGCGUAAAGCGCGCGUAGGCGGUCUGGUCAGUCGGAUGUGAAAGCCCUGGGCUUAACCUGGGAAGUGCAUUCGAUACUGCCAAACUAGAAUGGGGAGAGGGAAGUGGAAUUUCCGGGGUAGCGGUGAAAUGUGUAGAGAUCGGAAGGAACACCAGUGGCGAAGGCGGCUUCCUGGCCAAACAUUGACGUUGAGAUGCGAAAGGGUGAGUCGCGAACAGGUUUAGAUGUGUGCUAGUCCUACCAUA